UACGUAGGGUGCAAGCGUUUGUCCGGAAUUAUUGGGCGUAAAGAGCUCGUAGGCGGUUCGUCGCGUCGGCUGUGAAAUCCCGGAGCUCAACUCCGGGUCUGCAGUCGAUACGGGCGGACUCGAGUUCGGCAGGGGAGACUGGAAUUCCUGGUGUAGCGGUGGAAUGCGUAGAGAUCCGGAAGAACACCAGUGGCGAAGGCGGCCCGCUGGGCAGUGGCUGACGCUGAGGCGCGACAGCGUGGGGGAGCAAACAGGA
rnacentral:rRNA from 1 species